rnacentral:misc_RNA from 1 species
GAGAUUUCGGUCUCUAGCGGCGGACAGGUGAGUAACACGUGGCUAACAUGCCUCAUAGAGGGGGAUAGCCUCCCGAAAGGGAGAUUAAUACCUCAUAACAUCAUGCGUUUGCAUGUAAGUAUGAUCAAAGGAGCAAUCCGCUAUGAGAUGGACCCGCGGUGCAUUAGCUAGUUGGUGAGGUAAUGGCUCACCAAGGCAAGGAUGGGUAGCGGACCUGAGAGGGUGAUCGCCCACACUGGGACUGACACACGGCCCAGAGACCUACGGGAGGCAGCAGUGGG